rnacentral:rRNA from 1 species
CCUACGGGGGGCAGCAGUGAGGAAUAUUGGUCAAUGGGCGCGAGCCUGAACCAGCCAAGUAGCGUGAAGGAUGACUGCCCUACGGGUUGUAAGCUUCUUUUAUAAAGGAAUAAAGUGAGGCACGUGUGCCUUUUUGUAUGUACUUUAUGAUUCAGGAUCGGCUAACUCCGUGCCAGCAGCCGCGGUAAUACGGAGGAUCCGAGCGUUAUCCGGAUUUAUUGGGUUUAAAGGGCGCGUAGAUGGGUUGUUAAGUCAGGUGUGAAAGUUUGCGGCUCAACCGUAAAAUUGCAAUUGAUACUGGCAGCCUUGAGUACAGUUGAGGUAGGCGGAAUUCGUGGUGUAGCGGUGAAAUGCGUAGAUAUCACGAAGAACUCCGAUUGCGAAGGCAGCCUACUAAACUGCCACUGACGUUGAUGCUCGAAAGUGUGGGGAGCAAACAGGAUUAGAUACCCCAGUAGUC